CCAAAGUGAAGGGAGUUGUAUCAAUCAAUUCCAGCGACACAGGAUUCCGUUUGUGGGGACCAGAGGACUAUGUAAUUCCACCUCAUGGUGGACCUAAUCUUUUCAUCACAACCAACUUCAUAGAAACACCAAAUCAGAAGUUAGACAUCUGUGCAGAAAGCUUUAAGGUUCUGGAUGGCCGCUGUGGUGACAAUGA